rnacentral:rRNA from 1 species
CUGAUCUCAAAUCAGGUAGGACUACCCGCUGAACUUAAGCAUAUCAAUA